AGGAUUGACACUCAGGCCAGUUUUGCUACAAAAUCCGUUCUUCAACAAUGACGAUUAUCUUCAGGUGUACUUGCAACUCUUCCCCUCAAAAGGUAAGCGUUUCAACCGAUCAGGUGUUCAAAAGAUGGGUUUUCACUUGAGUAAUCAAACCUACAAGCCACCACUUGGAUUUCGGGAAUAUUUUUUCAUAGCAAUGCCGUAUGAUUUCUCGGGAAAGUUGGAGUUCAGGGGAUCGGCAUUGCAAUAGGAAAGUUGGAGUUCAGGGGAUCCGGCAAAAGCGAGACGAAGCUGUCAAAAUCAGGAUGAACUCCGGUGAGCACAAAGUGACGCCACUCCGAACCAAAAUCUAUGAUGUCGCCUGUGUAUAGAUUUGUUUUGACCCAUUGCUUAUAGCUAUGUUUUCGGAAACUAUGAGUAUGAUUCAUUGCUUAUAGCUAUGAGAAUACUUACCUUUGAUAUGAUUUCCGUUAAGGAGCUUUUCACUGCCACUGAUGGAAAUGGUGCUUUCCUUAACGGAAAUCCAAUCAAAGUAUCUUUUCACUCUGAACUGGUGAAGUGUCUCCUUACCACAGAGGCUGGAACAAAGCGUGAUAAGGCCACUCUGGAUGCCACUACAAAUAGAACAAUUUGCCUUCCUUUGAGAUUUUAAAUCAGUGACAACUGACUUCAGGUCUCAUGUUUCUAUUAUGUAAUCAGGUAAGAUCAAUCAGGAUGGGCGGUUCCUAUGCAUUGGGUCUCUGUGGGGUUGCAUGUGGAAGGAAUGAUCUAUUUUAUGAGAUCGGCAUUGGUGGUCCUUGGUAUGGAACUCCUUUUUUGUUUCCGUUUAUUGAAAUGGCAAUUUUAACCAGUUCGUUUUCGAAAGGGUAGAUUCCGGUUAUGUUUUAUCUCCAACGGGUCAAUUGGGUAAAAUAAAAAAAGUGUUUCUAAAACGGAAGUCAGUCAAAUGGCUCAAGAGUCGCUCAAAAUAUAUUUUCAUUUUUCGAUGCAUAAGGUCCUAAAUCGUCUUUUAAAAGGGAUCAGAUAGUUAUUGAAGUAAUAUAUUUUUGCAAUCAUAUUUUCAUAUUUGACACCAAAUAUUUUUAUAAAAUUUUUAUGUUCUUUGACAAUGGUGGUUAUUCUGAGUUCUGGCGUUGUUGGUUAAGAACUGGUAUGUGUUUGAUUGGCAUUGAGUAUAAUCGUUGUGGAGAUCGGCUGGUGUCUGGUUCUAAUGAAUGGCAGUUGUGUUAUUGAAUGUGGCAAGUAAAUGUUUGGUCCUUUUUGUGAUUCGGGUCAAAGACACGUCAUCAAACAACAGCAACAGAGAGUUCGGGGUUUGUUUGGAUUUGAUCAAUGAUGUGGUUAGCCAUGACUCGAGUCCGGUUGCUAGAGCGGUUUUGAUCUCGAAGCUUGGUUAUGGUCGGGAAAGAUUAUGUUUCUGUUGUACGGGAGUACCAGAAGUGUAUCGAUCGAGACAAUUCGGAUGUGGUGGCGAUUAACAAGGCGUUAUUUUUGAUGUAUCUUCGGGAUUUAUCGGAUUCUAUUAAGGUGCUGGAUAGUGCGUUGGAGCGGGUUCCUAUGGCUGCUUUAAACGAGACUUUUGUGGUAAAUUUGUGUAGUAUGUAUGAGUUGGCUUAUGUUAAUCCAUCGGAUAUCAAGAAAACGCUUAGCAACUGGAUUGCUUUUGUGGCCCCGGAUGAUUUCGAUACUUCGUGUACUCGUGUUUGAAGUAGUUUUGUUAUGUUCUUUCAAGGACUAUUGAUGUUUUUGAUGUUGAAAAAUGUAUGUUCAUUUUCAGUUUGGUUUUCUUCGAAGUAGGCUGUAUAAGGCUGCUGAUAUAAUGCACUAGAUUGAAGAUAAUCACAUUGAGAUCCUUUUAACUUUU